rnacentral:lncRNA from 9 species
GGGGGGGGAAGCAUCCCCAAAAAAAGAGAAUAAAGCUUGUCUUUGAACUUUGAACUUUUCUUUUUCUUUGAAGAGCAUCGAAGCCCACCGGUUCAGGAGUCGGAGCCAGAACUUUGUGGGUUUCGGAGUCAGAGGCUUGGCCACGCCCCCUGCCUGCAAAGUACGCACCUGGAUCAAAUUACUCAACCUCUGGGUCUUACUCUGUAAGACACAGCGGAAGAAUAGCAUCUUCCCGCCCAGCGUGGCUGUAAAGAUUAGAAGAGAUACAAGAUUUUCAAUUCCUGCCUCAAGAGUGGGAGAGGACCGUGUCUGUUUCCUCCAUUUUCGCUUGCACGUCCACCCCCACCGUGGGUGAUUUCAAAUCGCGAAAAAGGACACGCGUUCCAAGCCCCUCCAAAAAAAAAAAAAAAAAAAAAAAAAAAGUGGUGAAAUGCCAGGAGUAAUGGUGCUAGUUUAGUAACAGUUCCCACUUGUUGCGCACCCUCGGUUAGCCAGGAUCACUGCGGCUGCGCUCCGUGUCACACAUGUUCCCCGAACAUAAGGAGACGGGAUAAUGAACCGCCUCCAAGCUGCUGAGCUUUAACUUGGGUAGAAAAUAGGCAAGCGUCGCGGAUGAGGAUUCAGGAAGCAGGGUGGGUCUCCCACGAUCAUUCUUCAGCCGUAGGAAAAUCGAAAAAGGUGGGAAAGUGGUGAGAAAGGUUCCAGCAGCUGUAACUUUUGGUUCAGGAGACACGCCUCUGGGAGCCUUCAGACGGCUGAAACCUGAGCCAGCCGCCGCCAGUCUCUGACCCCGACCCGCCCAGCCCGUCGUCGGGGCUCAACCCAAGUGUGCCUCGUUGAUGGAUGACACCGAGGCUUUUCACCCCAUUUGCUCAACCACAAAACUGCGCUCUUAGAGCAAGAGAGAAGUCAGCAGGCACGGCAGGGACCCCGCGGGGGCGGGUACGGGGAUCUGGUUCCGACCGCUGUGGACGACCCGCCGCAGCCCUACGGAGUGAUCCGGGCGCUGCCCACCCGCGCGGGGCUCGUGUCUGAACCAGCCCCUGCGAGGUCGAGGCCCGAGGCCCACACUGACCUUGGACUGGGCGCUCGCCGGCAGGUCGAGGAUCCGAGAAGACAGGGGACCCGCGUUCUCCACUGGACCUAAACGAGUGGCUGGGUCGGGCGACCCUCAAAGCCUGAGGUUUUGAGCCGGGUUUUCCAGCCGGGGAAAGGUUGAGGGGAGAUCCGACCGCGCUGCAGCUCGUGGACACCCCCUUGGAGAGUGUGCGCACCCUGUGAAUCUCUGCAUAGAGGGAUCCAGAAAAACGGCGGGAUGCAUCGACCUUUGCCUGUGGGGAUUUCAAGAUACGCGUCUUAUUCCCGCAUCGGUUCAUUUGUUCGUUCACUUCUUGAGCUCCCACCACGUGCUGGGAACUGUGCGGUGUGCACUCUUCACCUCGAUUUCGGCAAACACAAAUAAACAGCCCCGACUAAUCAGAGGGAGGUGAAAUUCACUGACCCGAAAGUCUCCUGGGACAGGCUGGGUAGGGGUGGGGGAGGGGGGCUCUGAAACCCCCGCAACUCCCCCCCGCCAAACAAAUAGGCGCUGUGGCACAGCAGAAGGAGAAGGCGGGAUGCAGACUCCCUGAAGCCACCUGGGCAUCCCUUCCUUCUGGCUCUGCC